AGCUUUGAAGAAACUCUAGACUGCAAGGCCCUAGCCAUCCUAACAUGAAGCCCCAUUGCUUCCUUGAUGUGAGGCUCUGUAAUUCUCUUAUAACCUUCACCAAAAAUAAUCUAAAUUUCAUUAGCAUCAGCAUUAAUAAAAACAUGGUCUUGUCCAAGCAGAGGAUGAUGCAAUGACUUGGCCCAAUCCAUGUUUGGGUAAUGUAGAAAUUUCUUUUGGAGGUUAGGAAUGAGAUAAAUAAGCUGUAUCUGCUAAUGUUUGUAAUUGGGCGAUAUUCUUAUGACAAGGCCACUAAAACCCCUCAGAGUAUGACCCUUAUGGUGAUGGCUACAAUCAAGUAAUUUUCAGGCCGGGCUUUUGCUGAUUCCUUUUAUGAAAAAAAUAAAAAAUAAAAAAUCUAAAAAAAACAAAAAUGAUGUCACCGAUGACAGAUUAGACCCAUCGAGUUGUACCCGUUGUGCGAAGAUAAAGGCUUGCAUUAUUGUUUCGCAUACGAUUCCAUGUCAGGUUUUCCAAUAGCCUAAAACGUCAUUUAUUCCGUCCCCACAUGGCAUGCAAAUCCAAAGUUCUUUGAUUCUUAGAUUUGAAUCUAAUUCCAUGCAGCACGAGGGCGCGCUAUAAGUACCACGGCCAUGGCAGUUGCAUUGUGCCAACCCAAAAUUAAAUUACUGGUCUUCCUUCUUUAAUCUCUGUGCUCUUUGAGAGAAGAGGGUGGUCGGAAGAAUGGCAUCCACGAAGGCUGAGAGACCUCUUGAAGGCUCCCAGGUUCCCGUGGAAAAAGUCAAGAAGGAGCCUGCCCCCGCCAAAGCCAGUACUGGUGCACCCAAAGCUCAGGCUAGGAAGCUGGCCCCAAAAAAGGCCGAGCAAAAGCCUCGGGAGUCCAAAAAGAAGGCUAAAGGUGGCAAAUCAGCAGCCAAAAAAUAGUAGAGAUGACAGAAAGCAGCAGGACCGCUCAGCAUCCAAUCAGAUCAAAGACUAGCAUUUUUCUGUUGUUUAAGUUUUCCCUAUUUUCCUAUACUUCAAAUGUAUGCCAAAUGUUAGGCUGGGCUUUCUGAAAUAAAGUCGUGGUGUUGCUAGAAUGAA